rnacentral:rRNA from 1 species
UGGGGAAUAUUGCGCAAUGGGCGAAAGCCUGACGCAGCAACGCCGCGUGAGUGAUGAAGGCCUUCGGGUCGUAAAGCUCUGUCGGAGGGAACGAAUGCUCUUGAGGUUAACAGCCUCGGGAGGUGACGGUACCCUCAAAGGAAGCACCGGCUAACUACGUGCCAGCAGCCGCGGUAAUACGUAGGGUGCAAGCGUUAAUCGGAAUUACUGGGCGUAAAGCGUGCGCAGGCGGUUGUGUAAGUCAGAUGUGAAAUCCCCGGGCUCAACCUGGGAAUUGCAUUUGAGACUGCACGGCUAGAGUGUGUCAGAGGGGGGUAGAAUUCCACGUGUAGCAGUGAAAUGCGUAGAUAUGUGGAGGAAUACCGAUGGCGAAGGCAGCCCCCUGGGAUAACACUGACGCUCAUGCACGAAAGCGUGGGGAGCAAACAGGAUUAGAUACCCCCGUAGUCCCUGAGCGGGCUGGCAAGGCGCAU